rnacentral:rRNA from 1 species
UACAGAGGGGCAAGCGUUAUUCGGAAUCACUGGGCGUAAAGCGCACGUAGGCGGAUUGCUAAGUCAGGGGUGAAAUCCUGGAGCUCAACUCCAGAACUGCCUUUGAUACUGGCGAUCUUGAGUCCGGGAGAGGUGAGUGGAACUGCGAGUGUAGAGGUGAAAUUCGUAGAUAUUCGCAAGAACACCAGUGGCGAAGGCGGACUCACUGGCCCGGUACUGACGCUGAGGUGCGAAAGCGUGGGGAG